AUGGUAAGCCAGGUCAUGUACUCUGUGGAUUCUGAUGCAGAAAGUAGAGGAUCCUCUCCAACUGAAUCUCUCCAAACAUCUGAACCCACUAUAUCUGAUGUAGGCAAUCUAUUGAGUGGCAAGUCCUCCCCUCGGCUGUCUCCUUCUGGCACCAUUAUGGCAACAAGCGAGACCUCCAAUGCAGCACAAAUCUUGAAGGCCAACAUUGAUGGAGAGGAAGUGGAUACCACCAGUCAUUCUGGUGUAGCUCAAAACAUUGUCAAGGACGAUAUGUCAACCAGCCCAGACAUGGUCAAAGAUGUCACACUUCCAACCCCAUCCUCUGAUAACUUGGGCAGUGAUGAUGACGUCACCGGCCUCAUCAGCAUGUUAGUAAUGAGAAUUCUAACAGAAAUCCAAACCCCAGCAGAAGAUUACCCAGUUGACGUCACACGCAAGUCACAAGACCUUAUCCCUAAAGUUAUGGAGGUCUUCUGUGCAUGGUCAGGCUGCUCUGAGACACAAGCCUAUCCAGAGAACUUGAGGAUUCAUAAAGUCUACAGAGUCGUCUAUAAAAAUCUGUUGGAGGAGUUUGGCUCGGAGAAAAUCCUCCAACAGGCCGUGACGACUCAGGACUCUUCAUUUGAUAGGAUUCUUGUCAAGUCUUUGAGUGAAGCGCUUCUCCACAGAUGUAAUGAGGCAUUGAGGGCAGCCUCAAGAACAUCAGUCAAAACCACCGGGCCUAAGGCUCUUCCACUGGCUGAGGAUGUGAGGGCUAGCAGCGGGAAACUAUCUUUUCUACAAAGGCUGGUCAGGCUGACAAGCAACUUAAAGCUAUUCAAGAAGGGGAACAAGAAGGAUUCCCACCGCUCUGAAUCAGAACAAGUACAGACCACUGCUGAAGAUGGCAUGCUGCCCAGCAUAGUGCCACAUGCUGCCAUGUCUGCACUGCCAAAGGAUCUCCCCGCCAGCUCCCAACAGGAGACGCCUCACAAACGUCCACUUCUCGUCAGGAUGUUUUCUGCCAUCUCCAAAGGCCUGUUCAAGCCCUUCAAACAGUCCUUAAAGACCAAGUAA
rnacentral:lncRNA from 1 species